ACUCACUGUGUUCUUGCGUGAGUCUCCUGGCUGUUAGGAAUUCUGCUGCUCAAGUGGAAAAAACAGAUUGCAAAGUACUUCAUAGAUCACCCUGUACUGAGUAUGGCAAACUGAUCAACAGCCUACUUACUGCUACAUUUAUAUUAUUUAAAAUAACUGCCAGGAUGUUGUGGCUGUGAACUGGGAAGCCUGCCAUGCUAUUAUUUUGAAAAGUGCUGUGCAAACAGUGUUCCUCUCAGAUGGUUUCCAGAGUUAGUUCCUUACAAGCAUUUCCUCUUGAAACAUCGGGAAUCUAAAUAAAGAGAAAGGUGUCUAAUGGUCUAGUCUACCAACUUCACUAUGCUGAUUUAUGAAAGAAUUGCUGAAACCCAGUGAAUAAUAGCAUUUGCCCUUCUUUCUCAAAAAAGCAGCAUUUGCUUUCUUCUGGCAAGGAAUAAUUAAGCUAAUUUCUCCAUGAACCUUGGAAAAAGUGGCAACGAAUAAUGGAUUUGUCCCUCAAAGAACAUUUCAAGCAAACAUCUUAUCAGCUACAAAUUCAUUUGAGGCAGUUCCAGGUCAGCCACAGGCAAUUUUUCUCAUUAAAAUACUGUUUAAACUGUUGUAUCCAGAUGACACAGGAGACAUAUCAGACAAACAACACCUGCAAGAAGAAUUGGUGAAGUAUUGACUUUUCAUCAAUCAAAAAGUUUACUAAGCAGAUGAAAAUAAUUUGCCUUCACAGUGACAUUUUCCUGACGUCUUGCUAGUACUUAAAGGCAUUGUUUUUUCUUUAACACCCAAACUUUAAUUACCAGAAAAGGUUAGCAUCAAAACAAAGGACAUGUUGGUAAUUUAGAGGCCAUAUCAGAAAAAUAAAUUCAUUUUGGUUUGAAUGAA
ensembl:lncRNA PDK4-AS1 PDK4 antisense RNA 1